rnacentral:rRNA from 1 species
AGAAUCAACGCUGGCGGCGUGCCUAACACAUGCAAGUCGAACGAGAAAGUGGAGCAAUCCAUGAGUAAAGUGGCGCACGGGUGAGUAACACGUGACUAACCUACCCUUGAGUGGGGAAUAACUGAGGGAAACCUUAGCUAAUACCGCAUAAUACCUACGGGUCAAAGGAGCAAUUCGCUUAAGGAGGGGGUCGCGGCCGAUUAGUUAGUUGGCGGGGUAAUGGCCCACCAAGACUAUGAUCGGUA